GACGAACGCUGGCGGCGUGCCUAAUACGUGCAAGUCGAACGAAGCUUUUUUAACUGGUGCUUGCACCGACUUAAACAACUGAGUGGCGAACGGGUGAGUAACACGUGGGUAACCUGCCCCAAAGCGGGGGAUAACAUUUGGAAACAGAUGCUAAUACCGCAUAACCACAGAAACCACAUGGUUUCUGUGUCAAAGAUGGUUUCGGCUAUCACUUUGGGAUGGACCCGCGGCGUAUUAGCUAGUUGGUAAGGUAAUGGCUUACCAAGGCAAUGAGACGUAGCCGAACUGAGAGGUUGAUCGGCCACAUUGGGACUGAGACACGGCCCAAACUCCUACGGGAGGCAGCAGUAGGGAAUCUUCCACAAUGGACGAAAGUCUGAUGGAGCAACGCCGCGUGAGUGAAGAAGGUUUUCGGAUCGUAAAACUCUGUUGUCAGAGAAGAACGUGUGCGAGAGUAACUGUUCGUGCAGUGACGGUAUCUGGCCAGAAAGCCACGGCUAACUACGUGCCAGCCGCCGCCGUAA
rnacentral:rRNA from 1 species